CAGGUCAACAAAGACAGCAGAAGCCAAUCGCUGGGCAAAGGAUAAGGUAGGAUUUCUGUCCCAGGAGGAGGAAGAGGAGAGAGAGAAGAGGGGUCACUUGACACUGUGGAAUGAAUAGGAAGCGACAGACAUGCUGUCUGGUGUUUUCCAUCCAUGGCGACUCAAGAGGGCAGGAGAAUGCACAGCCGUGGAGCGGUCAUUAGAGGUUUGGCGGAGCUAGCUGUGGGAACUGAAUGAGAUGGCCGUUGCCGGCAUUCGGGAUGAAGAACGUUGAAGCUGUCGGGCCCAGUGAAUUGUAAACUGUGUUCGCAGCCUUGCUGUGCAGCAGGGUGACUUCAGCUCAUCAACAGAAACACCGACCCACCUGUGCCAGGAUUUGUCUUCAAUUAUGCAAGUGUCUGCAUUGUACAAGGCCUGCUGGGGCACUGCCUCACACACCAUGCCCCAGAUCUGGGAGUCAGAGCUCUGCCCCUGGUAUCAGAGUUAGCUUGUGGUUCCUAGCUCCAGCACUGUGUGAUCUUGGGCAAAGUGUGAAGCUGCUCUGUGCCUCAGUUUCCAUGUAUGUACAGCCAGGAUGACCAUGCCAGAGGGCCUAGUGAGAUGGUUUGCAUGCAAGAGCGCUUGCUGCAUAGGCCUUAGGACCUGAACUUGGAUACUCAGGACUCAUGUCAAUAAGCCAAACUUGGCAGUAUGAAUCUGUAAUCCCAGCCCUGGAGAGCCAAGAGACAGGAAAAUCUUGGGGUUCACUGGCUAGUAAGUCUCGCUGAGUUAGAGAGUUCCAGAUUUAGAGAGAAAUCCUGCCUCAGAAAGUAGAGAAUGAUAAAGGAAGACAACUGACAUUGACCUCUGACAUCCAUGUGCACACACAAACAUGUACUUAACACAUAAAUUAACCUGGAACUCCGCCCUAGGGAAGUCCCUCCCCACCGAGAAUCCAUGGAGGCUUUCCUAGGGGCAGAGGUCCUGCCAUUCAUCUGUUCCGCAGAGCAGAGCGCCAGUGAGCCAGAGAGGCAGCAGACCAGGCAGGUGGUUAGCGAGCACACACACAACACAGCAGAAGAAUCAGGCCAGCAGCUCCAGACAAAGCAGGGCAAGGGGCAGCCAGGGCCACUUUCACAUGUUCGACGGUCUCUGGCCAGAGGUAGUGGGGGCUCUCUCUUUCCUGUUUUUGCCUUGUGUCAGCUUUUGCAGGCCCAGUGAAGCCUGUGGAUUCCCUCUCAGAAUCCUGCCUUUUAAAAGACCAGAGCACAAUGUGUACAGUUGCAAGGGAAGCCAUUUCCUCAUCCCAGUAGGGUUUUAAAAGAAAAAUGCACAUUUUAGUCACAUGCAUGCCUUUCAAGGGUGGGAUCUAAUUUCAGAAAACAGUGAGGAGUUAAAGUUGUUUCUUAGGAUAUUUAAACCUCUGGAGUAAGGCAGGGUAACACCGGUGAUUUCUAUUACUGAUAAGCCCAGCUUCUGGCAAUUCUAUUGUAGCUGGUCACCCACAUCCACAACGAAAUCCUCAAUUUCACUGCAAGCUUAGUGAAGAUGGAGACACACUCCUUCCUGGCCAAGUUCACGGGCUCCCUGAGUUCCUCCCACGUUCGCCCUGGGUUUCUAGGAUGCCAGGGAGAAAUCCUUCCCCUACACAGAGCUCCAGUUUUGUUCUCAACCAGCAGUUAAGAACAUCAGGGUUGGUGGCACAGGCCUAUAAUCCCAGUUUCUCAGGAGGCUGAGGAGGAGGAUUGCACAUUCAAGGACAGCCUGGGAUACAGAAAGAGUUCAAGGAUAACCUGUGUAACUGGGUGAAGCCUUAUCUCAAGGGGAAAAGGAAAAAAAGGCUGGGGGAUGUUGCCAGUGCUUUGUGUUUGUCUAGCGCAGCGUUCUCAACCUUUCUAAUGCUGAGACCCUUAUACGUUGCCCAUGGCGAGCUGAAUGCUCCCCAACCAUUUAAUACAGUUCCUCGUGUUGCAAGGAACCCCCAACCAUAAAAUGUAUUUUUGUUGCUACUUCAUAACUGUAAUUUUUGCCACUGUUACAAAUUAUAUAAUGUAAAUAUUUUUGGAGGUAAAGGUUCGCCAAAGGGGUUGCGACCCACAGGUUGAGAACCACAGAUCUAGAAUCUAAAGGACUCCAGCUUUCAUCCCUGGUGUUUUAAUUAAUUAAUUAAUUAAUUAAUUAAUUAAUUAAUUAUAAUGUGUAUAGUAUUACACUUACUGGUAUAAUAUUAGUAAGAUAAAGUGAUAGCAUGCUUGUUUAA
ensembl:lincRNA Gm11426 predicted gene 11426